CAUUAGAUGACUGAAAGUAAGUAUUGGUCUCUUAAACCACAUAAUAGUAAAUUAACAAUUACUUCUAAUG
rnacentral:tRNA from 1 species